UACGGGGGGGGGGCAAGCGUUGUUCGGAAUUACUGGGCGUAAAGGGUUCGUAGGUGGCUUGCUAAGUCAGACGUGAAAUCCCUCAGCUUAACUGGGGAACUGCGUCUGAUACUGGAUGGCUUGAGUUUGGGAGAGGGAUGCGGAAUUCCAGGUGUAGCGGUGAAAUGCGUAGAUAUCUGGAGGAACACCGGUGGCGAAGGCGGCAUCCUGGACCAAUACUGACACUGAGGAGCGAAAGCCAGGGGAGCAAACGGG
rnacentral:rRNA from 1 species